UACGUAGGUGGCAAGCGUUAUCCGGAAUUACUGGGCGUAAAGGGCGCGUAGGCGGCCUGCUAAGUCGGACGUGAAAUCCCUCGGCUCAACCGAGGAACUGCGUCCGAUACUGGUGGGCUUGAAUCCGGGAGAGGGAUGUGGAAUUCCAGGUGUAGCGGUGAAAUGCGUAGAUAUCUGGAGGAACACCGGUGGCGAAGGCGGCAUCCUGGACCGGUAUUGACGCUGAGGCGCGAAAGCGUGGGUAGCAAACAGG
rnacentral:rRNA from 1 species